UCAUGUCGCUCUCUAUCAUGUUGCUUGCUUGAUAAGUAUGCGUGAUCUGCACAAAGAGACAGGAAGAGGAUGGAGGAUAGUUUGAUCGAUAGCGAGGGAUUGAUUUCCCUUUCAAUGCUGAAGACAGAGGGUCAAGCUCUCGGAGAGCAAGAAAAGGAUGAUGAAGAGAAGCAAGAUAAUGAAGCAGAAGAAGCCGGAGAGGCUGAAGACGAUGGCAAGAAAGAAGGAGAUGACUCCAAUGGUGGCGGGCUAGCCGAUGAUCAAGCUUCGGGCUCGAUGGUUUCCAUUCCAGGCGUCUCUCCAAGAGAAACUGAGGUGGAUCAUAAGAGAGAGGACGGGGCCUUGGGUGGCCUUGGCUCGCUGUGGGCUCUCGGAUCAAGCUUCGUCACCAACUUACCUGUCUCGAAGCAAGAUCACAGCCGUCGAUUUUGUGGGGGUAAUCCUGCGGACUGCACCCGGACAGGGUGUUACAUACUUGACGCGCAAGUUGCCAGGCUAGCCAUCCUAAUCCUUUAUCCGGAGCCUCCACUCUUACCGUUUCUCCGUAUUUUCCUAGUCCGAGACCAGGAAAUCGAAAUCAUGCCCGCCCACGUGUUAACACCUCUCCAUCUCAACCGUCCAGCAAGCGCCUUAUUAACCUUCCUUCGAACAUUUAUAGGGCUCUAAUCUGUCGCGGCGCGGAUCGUAUUGCCCUAAAGCCAUCCUUCUCUUCGAAGCAAAGGAGGUAGAACCCUAAAGGCAUGUCGGGGGCGUAUGGUUCCGGUGGAGCAGACGGCUCUGCUCCUCUGCCUAGCGGCGGCGGCGGCGGCGGCGGUUACGGCAGGGGAGGUGGAGGCGGAUACGGAGUAAACCCCCCAAUUCGAGGCGGCGGCGGCGGCGGCGGCCGCGGCGGGUAUCAAGGCGGCGAUCGUCGCGGCGGCGGCGGCGGCGGCGGCCGAGGUGGGGGUCGUGGAGGCGGCAGGGAAGGGGAUUGGCUCUGCCCUAAUCCUAGUUGUGGAAAUGUGAACUUUGCGAGACGAGUUGAAUGCAAUAGAUGUGGUACGCCAUGUCCUGGCGGUGGCGGAGGCGGAAGUGGUUCAAAUAGAGGAGCUGCUGGUGGUAAUUUUAGCAGAGGCGGCGGCGUUGGUUACAGUCGAGGUGGUGGUGAUUAUAGCUCGGGAGGUCGUGGUGGUUACAAUCAACGCGGUGGAGAUUACAAUUCUGGGGGUGGCAGUGGUGGUUAUAAUCAAGGUGGGGCUGAUUACAAUUCUGGCGGCGGCGGCGGUGGUUAUAACAGUGGUGGUCGGAGCUUUGAUGGGAAUCGUGGUGGUAGAAGUGGCGGAUAUGGCGGAAGAGGAGGUUAUAGUAAUCUUCUGGGAAGGGAAGAUGCUGGUUUUGCUAAUCAAGACAAAGGGGAUGCUGGUUAUGCUCAGGUUUCACCACCUGCCCCAGCCCCCUAUGGGGGUCCUGUAGGGAACUACCCUCCUGCUCCCAACUCUUAUGGUGGGGUUAAUGCUUAUGGUGCUGACCCUGUUCCACCACCCAAUAGCUAUGGCGGGCCUAGUUCCUAUCCCCCGAGCUAUGGUGCACCACCACCGAAUCCUUACACUAGUGAUGCCCUCGUGGGUCAUGGAGAUCCACCUAUUAGUUAUGAUGGUGGAUAUGCUGGUCGCCCGAUCUCGGGCCGUAAUGGUCGUGCUGCUGCUCCACCAUAUAACAGGGCUGGUGGAUAUGGUGCUGUUCCUGUUGAGCCUUCUGGGAAGAUUAAGCAAUGUGAUGAAAAUUGUGGGGACACAUGUGACAAUUCAAGAAUCUACAUCUCGAAUUUGCCACCCGAUGUGACAACUGACGAACUGAGGGAUCUUUUUGGUGGUAUUGGGCAGGUUGGCCGGAUUAAACAGAAACGAGGUUACAAGGAUCAGUGGCCUUGGAAUAUAAAAAUUUAUACUGAUGACUCUGGAAAUUACAAAGGAGAUGCUGUUCUUUCUUAUGAAGAUCCCUCAGCAGCACAUUCUGCUGGGGGAUUUUUCAACAGCUAUGAUAUGAGGGGCUACAAGAUCAAUGUUGCAAUGGCUGAGAAGUCUGCACCUAAAGCUGCACCUGCAUUUGGAGGUGGCAGAGGUGGUGCAUAUGGUGGUGGCGACAGGCGCAGGGAUAAUUUCCGGGAUGGUGGUGGACUGGGGCCUGAUAGGCACCAUUAUGGUGGUCAGCGAUCACGUCCUUACUGAAGAAGGGCAAUUAUAUAUACUAGGAAUGUGAUCUGAGAGAAACACUUUCUAUUCGUAUUCACCAGACUUGUACUCAAAAGAGGAGUCUAAGGUAGGUUGAGCCUAUUCCCUUAGGACUUUUCUCUUUGAAAAAGUUGGAUGGGAAUUUGUUUCUUGCACCUGAAAUUGAUUUAAAUUGUUGUCAGUGUUUUCUAGAGGCAGGUGGAUGUAAUCUCCAAAUUGCUGGUAGGUUUGAUAUUUCAGAUCCUCAACUGAAUCCAAAGCUUCACGUUUCUACGUGCAUGAUUAUUUUCCUCUGGGAUGGCGUGUUGAGGGUAAGCGCUUUAUGAGAUUUUUCUCUUUUCUUGACAAGAUCAUUAUUGAUUGCCAUCAAUUUUCUGUAUGGAUGAUUUUUGUUGGGUCAGUCCAUAUGUUGGCUUGGCUUGAUUCCUCUUUGAUCAGCGAUGUCGGGUUAAAAGGGAUGUAAUCAAUUUUUUUUUUUUUUUAAGGGCACGGAUUCUUUGCGUGCGUGGUUUACAUCAUAAAAUACUGUGCACCGUAUGAUGGCCGUUAUCAUGAUGUGUCAUCUGAUAAUGGCAAUUGGAUGUUGCACUGCAUUCUGGGAUGUAAACUGGACAUCACAAAAAAUCCUUAGUUUUUUUAUUUUUUUCAUUUUUUAAGGGUUCGCUAUGUCGGUAUCCAUGUUGUUCCGCUGGUUCAAACAUGGCAUAAAAAGGGAGAUCUGGCCCGCUGGUCUCUACAGGUACUGGGGCUGCCUCGAGUAUCCUGCAGUGGGGCUCGGCAAUAGCUUCAACUCGAACCUCUGACCUCCACAAGUAAAUAAACAAGAGGACAGUAGAUGAUUUGGGGCAACUGGAAGUUACUGCAUAAAUUUUUGAUGCAGUUACAGUUGAGCAGGACGGUGAUUUGUGACAUGCAACUGUUUGAGGAUUAUCAAAGCAAGCACUGUAAAUUGAUUUGCCCUUUGAUCAAAUUCUGAACCAAGGUGCAGCAGGUACAAGACGGUUGGCCAACCUCAAGGAAACCUCGCUCAGGGACUCCGGUUUUUCACUCGCAAAUGUGAUUAUAUAGGUGUUAGCUUGCUACUUUUUAUGGACACAUUAUCAUUAUUUUAGUUUUCUGUUGAUAUAUUUGUUUAGUUUUCCACAUUGAUCCGUGCUGUCAACUAAGAUUGGUGAAUGUUUUUCCUUCCUAGCCGAGUUAACAUUGCAUGUACUGGUGCUGUUCGGAUUCCA